UUAGUUGUAUUUCUUUGUAAUUUUGUGUUGUACAAAGAUUAAUUUAACAUUUUCUCUGGAAGUAUUAAUUUAGAAAGAUAAUAUGCUUCAUUGGUGUUGUGUUUUGAAGUGUGAAAUGCAAAGUAAUUGUGAUAAAGUCAAGAUAAAGUUCACUUUUAAACUGAACUAAAUAAGGUAUCUGAGAGACAACAAUGGUUAAAUGCAAUACAAUGUACAGGUUUUACUAGCGAAAUGAAAAUUUUCCUGUCCUGUCUGCUGUAAUCAUUUUAUAUCUGGAAAACCAGCCGACUUAAUCGAUAAUAACAAUCUCCAGAUUGGGUUCCUUCAAUAAAUAUGGGCUAUUAACACAAUGAAAUAAGUUCCAGAAAAUCUAAAAUGGAGUGGUAUCAAAGGAGAAUUAAAGGAAAAAAUAUUCAUAUUGAAAUUAUUUAUAAGGCACUGGACUGUCUUAAAUUCUACAAUAAUACUAGAAUCAGCUGAGAGAAGUGGUCUACAAAAAAACCAGGAAGGAAACGGAAUAUGUGGCUACGAAAGGCAAAAGAAAGGUUUACAAAGCAAAUGUGACACAUUUUUUUGAAAUAUUUAGGAAUAUCAG